AUGAAGAGAGAACUGGAAAGAAGAAAGGAAGAAAUGGAUAGAAGGGAGAGAGAACUGAACAUAGAUAUGGAUAGAAGAAAGGAAGAAAUGGAUAGAAGAGAGAGAGAACUGAACAUAGAAAUGGAUAGAAGAAAGGAAGAAAUGGAUAGAAGAGAGAUAGAACUGAAAAUAGAAAUGGAUAGAAGAAAGAAGGAAAUGAAUAGAAUAGAGAGCGAACUGGACAAAAAAUUGUUUAUAAGAAAGGACGAAAUGGAUAGAAGAAAGGAAGAAAUGGAUAGAAGAGCGACGGAACUUGAUAGAAGAGAGAAAGAAAUGGGUGAUCGUGAAGUACUUCAUGAAAUGCCAGCGGCAGCAGAAGCAGAAGACGGACCGGGCACAAGCUCAGACCAAUCAAAGAAGAUGCCGACUGAAGCACUGAAACUUGUGCGACGAAACAGCAUAGACAAAGAUAACCCUAACACGUUGUCACACAGACCUAAGCAAUGCAUGAGUUGGGCAAAUAUCUGCAUGAGAUCCAUUGUUUGCUACUAAAUCUGAAGUGUCUGAAAGGGAGGACAAACCUCCAGCUACUCCCUGAACAGACCACGAUUACACCGGAGCACGUUGAAGGAUUUUCCACUUUUCCAGUGAAGGUUGAGUACAAAUGAUCAAUUGAUUAAUCAGUUGAUAUAUAUAUUAUGAUAUAGAACUUUAUUGUUAGACAAAGACUGAUUUUCUUUUCUUGCAUGAUAGUAUGUUCAUUCACAAUUACUACCACAAGGAUCACCAGAUCUUUACAAACUCUUAUAACAAAAUACAACGUUUCACAAGUUAGUUGAGUUUAGAUUUUCCAUAUUCAAUUCUGUGAUGCAAAAAAGAGUGUUUUAGGUCUAACAGGUCAGGUUGUAGGUUAGGUCAGAAACAAUUUUAUUGACCAGCCUGAAGAGUCUCUUCUGAUAAGAUGAUUCUUGUACCUUUUCAAGAGGCUGUCCUGCAAUCUUUGAGCUAAUUUUUAUUCAGUUCAUCAGCUUUGUUUUUAAACUAAAUGACAGAUUAAUUUACCAAAUGGACUUACAACACUGUAAAACACUCAUGAUCAUAGACAUAAUAAUAAAAUAAUCUGUUUUCUUGCUCCA
ensembl:lncRNA